CCAGGCCUCUCUGGCUGCUCAGGAAUGACCCUGUCUGCGUGCUUCUUGCAAAGGCUAACACAAAAGCAGAGAAGAAGAUGGGCUUUGAGGUGAGGAAAUGUGUCCACAGCUAUCCAACAAGUCAUGGGAAGGGCUCGAAUCUGGUUAUUCAGACCCUCCUAGGGCAUUGUCACUGCAUCCCAUGGUCUCUUCAACUGAUAGCCACUUGUCUGCAGCCACUAGAAAGCAGCUCCAGGGACAAAUGUCCAUGUCGUAGGAGACCCGCUAGGACCUGUUACGGAAGCCAGCAAAUGCCUGGGGAGCCUGGAGGAGGAAGGGAGGAAAGGCAAGAACAGGCAGCAUGGCCACAGAGGCCACAGUCCUCUGGGCACAAGCACGGGAAGAGCACAUCCCAUCCCAUGCUAAGAGCCAAGAACCAUGCCUGGGGGCCCUCACUUCCCGAGGAGCAGCUGGACUCCCUGGCUCAUCUCCUCCUGGAAGUCUUGGAAGCUGGGCGAUUGGACAAGGAAAGGCAUUUCACGUGGUACCUGGAAGGCUUUAUUCAUCUGUUCAUUCAAUGGAUAUUUACCGCGUGCCAGGCCUGAGGAUGAAUGAUGAGCAAGGGAGUCCCUCGCAGAUUUAGCAUGGGGACCCAUCCUGCUUGCUGUCAUCUUCACUGAGGCUCUGGCAGUGAGAGGACAGAGCAGAGGGGGCAGGCUUCCCCACUCUGGCACGCAUCAGCUAAAUGACCCAGCAAGCUGCUCCACACCCAUCCGAGUACGACGGGGAUACUCUUGGUACCAGGCGGAGUGAAGCACUCAGCUCAAUGGCCAAGAUAGAUGGGGAGCUCUGGAAGGGCUGAUGCCUCUGGUGGUGUGUGACUCGGAGGGUGGAGGGCAGGGGGAGCAUUUCCCUUAUGGAACAUUGUCUUCUUGAUGUUUUCCCCUGCUCCCUCCUGGGAAAAUGGCCACUUUCAAUGGUGAGUAGUUGGCCCAACACAGGCUUUCCCAGGUGCCUCAGCGGCAAAGAAUCCGCCUGACAAUGCAAGGAAACACAGGAGAAGAGGGUGGAUCCCUGGGUCUGGAAAAUCCUCUGGAGGAAAAGGCAAC
ensembl:lncRNA